rnacentral:rRNA from 1 species
CGAACGGGUGAGUAACGCGUGGGAAUCUGCCUUUGAGCGGGGGACAACAUUUGGAAACGAAUGCUAAUACCGCAUAAAAACUUUAAACACAAGUUUUAAGUUUGAAAGAUGCAAUUGCAUCACUCAAAGAUGAUCCCGCGUUGUAUUAGCUAGUUGGUGAGGUAAAGGCUCACCAAGGCGAUGAUACAUAGCCGACCUGAGAGGGUGAUCGGCCACAUUGGGACUGAGACACGGCCCAAACUCCUACGGGAGGCAGCAUG